GGGUUACUCCUUUCACGCCCGGCCCCCAUCUCUAGCCCCGCCCCGGCGCCCCGGGCCGCGGCCGCCUCCGCGUCCGCGUCGUCGUCUGCGCUCCCGGCGCUGACGUGUCUGGGCGGUCGGCUUCCACUCCUCCAGGCGCCGGCAGCCACUAGUCGUGGCGAGAGGGGCGGGGUGGCCGGGGCUGGCGCUCCCCUUGGCCCCCGCUCCCGGCCCGCCCCGCCGCCGCGGCCCCCCGGAUGAGGGUAUAUAUUCGGAGCGGGCGCGGGACGCCGAUGAGUGGCCGCGCGGAAGGAGCUGGAGACGGGCGUAGCUGCGGUCGCGCCGAGAAAGGUUUACAGGUACAUACAUUACACCCCUAUUUCUACAAAGCUUGGCUAUUAGAGCAUUAUGAACAUUAAUGACCUCAAAGUCACGUUGUCCAAAGCUGGGCAAGAGCACCUACUACGUUUCUGGAAUGAGCUUGAAGAAGCCCAACAGGUAGAACUUUAUGCAGAGCUCCAGGCCAUGAACUUUGAGGAGCUGAACUUCUUUUUCCAAAAGGCCAUUGAAGGUUUUAACCAGUCUUCUCACCAAAAGAAUGUGGAUGCACGAAUGGAACCUGUGCCUCGAGAGGUAUUAGGCAGUGCUACAAGGGAUCAAGAUCAGCUCCAGGCCUGGGAAAGUGAAGGACUUUUCCAGAUUUCUCAGAAUAAAGUAGCAGUUCUUCUUCUAGCUGGUGGGCAGGGGACAAGACUCGGCGUUGCGUAUCCUAAGGGGAUGUAUGAUGUUGGUUUGCCAUCCCGUAAGACACUUUUUCAGAUUCAAGCAGAGCGUAUCCUGAAGCUACAGCAGGUUGCUGAAAAAUAUUAUGGCAACAAAUGCAUUAUUCCAUGGUAUAUAAUGACCAGUGGCAGAACAAUGGAAUCUACAAAGGAGUUCUUCACCAAGCACAAGUACUUUGGUUUAAAAAAAGAGAAUGUAAUCUUUUUUCAGCAAGGAAUGCUCCCCGCCAUGAGUUUUGAUGGGAAAAUUAUUUUGGAAGAGAAGAACAAAGUUUCUAUGGCUCCAGAUGGGAAUGGUGGUCUUUAUCGGGCACUUGCAGCCCAGAAUAUUGUGGAGGAUAUGGAGCAAAGAGGCAUUUGGAGCAUUCAUGUCUAUUGUGUUGACAACAUAUUAGUAAAAGUGGCAGACCCACGAUUCAUUGGAUUUUGCAUUCAGAAAGGAGCAGACUGUGGAGCAAAGGUGGUAGAGAAAACGAACCCUACAGAACCAGUUGGAGUGGUUUGCCGAGUGGAUGGAGUUUACCAGGUGGUAGAAUAUAGUGAGAUUUCCCUGGCAACAGCUCAAAAACGAAGCUCAGAUGGACGACUGCUGUUCAAUGCGGGGAACAUUGCCAACCAUUUCUUCACCGUACCAUUUCUGAGAGAUGUUGUCAAUGUUUAUGAACCUCAGUUGCAGCACCAUGUGGCUCAAAAGAAGAUUCCUUAUGUGGAUACCCAAGGACAGUUAAUUAAGCCAGACAAACCCAAUGGAAUAAAGAUGGAAAAAUUUGUCUUUGACAUCUUCCAGUUUGCAAAGAAGUUUGUGGUAUAUGAAGUAUUGCGAGAAGAUGAGUUUUCCCCACUAAAGAAUGCUGAUAGUCAGAAUGGGAAAGACAACCCUACUACUGCAAGGCAUGCUUUGAUGUCCCUUCAUCAUUGCUGGGUCCUCAAUGCAGGGGGCCAUUUCAUAGAUGAAAAUGGCUCUCGCCUUCCAGCAAUUCCCCGCAGUGCUACAAAUGGGAAGUCAGAGACCAUCACAGCUGAUGUCAAUCACAAAGUCUCGCUCUGUCACCCUGGCUGGAGUGCAAUGGUGCAAUCUCGGCUCACUGCAACCUCUGCCUCUUGGGUUCUAGCGAUUCUCCUGCCUCAGCCUCCGGAGUAGCUGGCUUUACAGCUUGAAGGAUGCCAAUGAUGUACCAAUCCAGUGUGAAAUCUCUCCUCUUAUCUCCUAUGCUGGAGAAGGAUUAGAAAGUUAUGUGGCAGAUAAAGAAUUCCAUGCACCUCUAAUCAUCGAUGAGAAUGGAGUUCAUGAGCUGGUGAAAAAUGGUAUUUGAACCAGAUGCCAAGUUUUGUUUGCCACGAUAGGAAUAGCUUUUAUUUUUGAUAGACCAACUGUGAACCUACAAGACGUCUUGGACAACUGAAGUUUAAAUAUCCACAGGGUUUUAUUUUGCUUGUUGAACUCUUACAGCUAUUGCAAACUUCCCAAGAUCCAGAUGACUGAAUUUCAGAUAGCAUUUUUAUGAUUCCCAACUCAUUGAAGGUCUUAUUUACAUAAUUUUUUCCAAGCCAAGGAGACCAUUGGCCAUCCAGGAAAUUUCGUACAGCUGAAAUAUAGGCAGGAUGUUCAACAUCAGUUUACUUGGAGCUGGAAGCAUUUGUUUUUGAAGUUGUACAUAGUAAUAAUAUGUCAUUGUACAUGUUGAAAGGUUUCUAUGGUACUAAAAGUUUGUUUUAUUUUAUCAAACAUUAAGCUUUUUUAAGAAAAUAAUUGGGCAGUGAAAUAAAUGUAUCUUCUUGUCUCUGGA